rnacentral:rRNA from 1 species
UACAGAGGGGGCAAGCGUUGUUCGGAAUUACUGGGCGUAAAGGGCGCGUAGGCGGCCUUCUAAGUCGAACGUGAAAUCCCCGGGCUCAACCCGGGAACUGCGUCCGAUACUGGAAGGCUUGAAUCCGGGAGAGGGAUGUGGAAUUCCAGGUGUAGCGGUGAAAUGCGUAGAGAUCCGGAGGAACCCCAGAGGCGAAGGCGGCGCUCUGGCUCGCGACUGACGCUCAGACACGACAGCAUGGGGAGCGAACGGG